rnacentral:rRNA from 1 species
UACAGAGGUCUCAAGCGUUGUUCGGAAUUACUGGGCGUAAAGGGUGCGCAGGCCGCGCGGGCAGUCAAAUGUGUAAUCCAGGGGCUCAACCCCUGAACUGCGCUUGAUACUUCCGCGCUUGAGCUUUGGAGAGGAGUCUGGAAUUCUCGGUGUAGCAGUGAAAUGCGUGGAUAUCGAGAAGAACACUUAGGGCGUAGGCAAGACUCUGGACAAAUGCUGACGCUCAUGCACGAAGGCUAGGGUAGCGAACGGG